GUUGUGAGUUACCGACGUCAUUUCUCUGUUAGAAAACGUCACGUGCGUUUGUACCGAACGGAAUGCAAUCUAUCCGACAUCGUCAUUCCGUGCACCUGUUGAUAAAGACUAAGGUUUCUUUCCGCAUAAUUAUGAUGUGGUUUCAGACUAUCUUCCUUAGCUGUUGACGGUUCUGCCAUUAUCGCAAGUGUUUCGUCGUUUCGUAGUGUCAAAAACAUCAUUUGCGAUGACAUAUUGUAACAAUUAAUCUACGCAAAACUAAUUCUUUUAUCUUAUCUAUAAAUAUUUUUCCUCGAUUUUCUUCCACUCUUCAACGUAUGUUACAUAUCAUACACCUAUGUAUAAUUUAGCAGUAUGCACGCACACGAGGUAUGUAUUUCCAUGUACGUAUAACGAAUAAAAUGCACUUGAUCAGCUACAA